GAAAUGCGAUAAGUAAUGUGAAUUGCAGAAUUCAGUGAAUCAUCGAAUCUUUGAACGCACAUUGCUCCCGCCAGCACUCUGGCGGGCAUGCCUGUUCGAGCGUCAUUUCAACCCUCAGAACCCCUUGCGGGAUCUGGCGUUGGGGAGUGGCAUCCAGCCAGCCCCGAAAUCUAGUGGCGGUCCCUCCGCGACCUCCCCUGUGCAGUAGCGAUACCUCGCAGCGGGACAGCGGUCUGACCACGCCGUAAAACCCCCAACUUCUCAAGGUUGACCUCGAAUCAGGUAGGAAUACCCGCUGAACUUAAGC
rnacentral:misc_RNA from 1 species